rnacentral:misc_RNA from 1 species
CACAAAUGUACUAGGCCGACUUUAUCGGCACGUGUGCCGGUUCGAUGUCGUACGUCUCGAUCUUCUGCUCCGCCGGGCCGCACUUGACCUCCCCGGUCUCGACAUCGAACUGCGAGCCAUGCCACGGGCACUGGACGACGCCGCAGAUCAGGACGCCAUCCGAGAGCGGGCCGCCCCUGUGCGU